rnacentral:rRNA from 1 species
AGCAGCCAUUGCGGUAAUUCCAGCUCCAAUAGCGUAUAUUAAAGUUGCUGCGGUUAAAAAGCUCGUAGUUGAAUUUCGGAAUUGAUGCAUCGGUCGUGCCUUAAGGGGCAUGAAUUGGUGUAGCCAAUUUCUCACCUUCUGGUGAAUUGUUGAUGUUCUUAAUGGGUGUCUCAAUGAACUAGAAUUUUUUACUUUGAAAAAAUUAGAGUGUUUAAAGCAGGCAUUAAUUUGCUUGAAUACAUUAGCAUGGAAUAAUAAAAUAGGACAGUGGUUCCGUUUUGUUGGUUUCUAGGAUCACGUAAUGAUUAAUAGGGACAGUUGGGGGCAUUAGUAUUCAAUUGUCAGAGGUGAAAUUCUUGGAUUUAUUGAAGACUAACUAUUGCGAAAGCAUUUGCCAAGGAUGUUUUCAUUAAUCAAGAACGAAAGUUAGGGGAUCAAAGACGAUUAAGUACGUCGUAGUCCUAACCAUAAACUAUACCGACUAGGAAUCAGACGAUGUUAAUUUUUUAAUGACUCGUUUGGUACCUUACG